rnacentral:tRNA from 1 species
AUGCAACUUAGUUUAUUUAGAAUAAUCAACUUGCCCUUGAUAGGAGAGAAUCUCAAUAGA